UACGGAGGGUGCGAGCGUUGUCCGGAAUCACUGGGCGUAAAGGGCGCGUAGGCGGCUGGGGAAGUCGGUGGUGAAAGUUCGUGGCUCAACUACGAGUCGGCCAACGAUACUCCUCGGCUCGAGCACUGUAGAGGCAGGUGGAAUUCCGGGUGUAGCGGUGGAAUGCGUAGAGAUCCGGAAGAACACCGGUGGCGAAGGCGGCCUGCUGGGCGCAGCUAGCUGACGGCUGAGGCGCGACAGCGGUGGGGAGCAAACAGG
rnacentral:rRNA from 1 species